UCAAACAGAGCACUGGUCAUCCAGAUUUCCUUCAAGAUAUAUCCUAAAUAUGAUCUAUCUUCUGUAUGCUGUCUUUUGAGCUUUUUAACGAUACUUUCACAAUCACUCUCAAAAACCAUGUUCCUGAGACCACAAUUGACAGCGAGAUGCAUACCAGCAAAGAUAGCGUACGCUUCAGCCGUCUCUGCGUUAUCAAACCCAUUUCUUCCACACGAGGCUGAGACCGAUGCAAGACCUUCUGAAUUUCUGAUGAUGCAUCCCAAACCCCAUCGUCCUGGUACUUGUAAAUUAGCAUCACAGUUGGCUUUAUGUAUGUUCCCCUUCGGUCUUUUCCAUUUAGUGGUUUCGUUGUGAUUAGAUUUUUGUUGUAAUGAAUUGAGGUUGGAAUUGAGCACGGUAGGAGCUGAGGUUUGACACUGGGGCGAAGUUGUUACAUGUGUUAUUUGUAUUGAAAAUUGAG
rnacentral:lncRNA from 1 species